GACUUGUGCCAGGGCUAUCAUGUGCCUUGGCUAUCAAGUACCAAGGCCUUGGCUAUCAUGUGCCCCUUGUGCCCAUGUCAUGAUAAUAAUAACGAAUAAAAUUCAUGACUUUCAUUAUUGAUGUGAAUGUCAGAUGAUGGAAUAGUGGUAAAGGUUGCAAAGGAGGGAAUUCCACUGCCUCCAGAUAGAAUGUUAUGCCCUUUGCAUUCACAAAAGCGUGUAAACCCAUCAGCUGUAGCUGUUUCAGGAUUUGUCUUUUGUUAUUCUUACAUAUUUAAAUAAGUCUCUUAGGUUUGUUUCUCCAUACUUUUGUAUUGAUCAUGGUAAAAUUGCAGAACUACUGCCAAAUAUUGUUUCUAAGUGAUGCUUUCUCUUAUGUCACAUUUCAGGAAGCUUUUAUCAUUUUUCUAUAUAGUGUACGCUAAACUUAAACAGUAAAUUGUACACUGUAGCCAGAAAUUCAAUUUUGCAACUAA